rnacentral:tRNA from 1 species
GUUGGGGUGGCAGAGCCUGGCUAUUGCGGAAGGCCUAAAACCUUUCAACGGAGGUUCAAGUCCUCUCCCUAACU